AGUGGAUGCCUCUACACUUAUAAAUGGGACGUUUAAUACACGAAAAGACGUUUUGUAAUAUAAACGUAUUUCCCAAGGGAAACCCAUAAGUAAAAAAUCUGUGAGUAUCAACUUUUAUCAGCAGGAAUAAAAACCAAAAGGGAGACCAAUAGUAGCGGAGAGCGAAAUUGGUAUAUGUUUGUCUUUGUAAUAAUAUAACCAAGGGGUUAAUAUUGAACUUUUAAAAAUAAUUAGGUAUUUUUUUUAAAACGUAUUAAUCUACUCUUCUUAUUGUGACAAGAGUAGACAUAUGAAUAGUUGCCAAAGAAGGUGAAAGCCCUGUAAAAAAAAGAUCUGUAUCUAUAAAGAAAUAAUUAAUAUUUCAAUAGAAAAAAAAAGGUAGAUGGUCGCUAUUAUUAAUGCGUCCAUAAUCAAGAGGUACCACCCUCUAAACUUUAAUUAUAAGUGAUAGAUAGUGUACUAGUACGGUGACGGAAAGGUGAAAAGAGCAACAUUUGUUGUAGUGAAAUAGAUCCUGAAACCCUAUGCUACCAAACAGUUGAUGGCUUAAUAUACAUACGUAGUCUCAGCGUGCCUUUUGCAACAUGAGAGAAUAAGUCUUCAAAUAUAGCAGCUUAAGCCGAUAGGUGUAGGCA
rnacentral:rRNA from 1 species